rnacentral:lncRNA from 1 species
AGGGGCUCAGAGUUUCAGUGAGAGGAGUCCUGUCUCAGCUAGUGCCAUUAGGACUCAACUUCAGUCCAAACUCUCUGUAUCCACUAAGCUUACUUUUGUUCAACUUAUCACCUUCCAUCCCAUGACCUCUUCUACUCAGAUCAGACCAUCCAAUCGAGGCCAAGGCUGAUUCUAUUUCAGAGUCAUUCCCUCAAUUUGUUCUGAUCUUGAGCUCGAUGCCCAUUCUCCCUGAUCUAAUCAUUUUAUAUUAGCUGUUUUAGGUCUCAUAUUACUUAGUUGUUGUAUUUUGUUUUAGUUGUUAUAUUUUGUUGAAUGUAUGAGAGCCUUA